rnacentral:tRNA from 1 species
GCACCGGUGGCGGAACAGGUAGACGCGUACGUUUGAGGGGCGUAUGGAGUAAUCCGUGCAAGUUCAAGUCUUGUUCGGUGCACCA